UCGGUCUCGGUUGCUCCACUUCACCUCUGCAGAGGUCGAGGAGCUCUCCGCGAGGCAAGACAGGCGAGGAGGGUUGAAACAGAGGGCGAGGAGCUCUACCCCCUCAAGGCUGAUGGGACACUCGUUGGGGGCACAGAGGGGCUGAGGACCGAGGUAGACUGCCAUAAGUGAUUGCAGCUGCUGAGGCCUUGCAGUUGGAUACAAUAACAUCCAGCAAAGUCAUGCAGAUGACAAGGUGGCAUAAACUGAAUCACUGAUGCGUCUCACAGGAAGAUAUUACAAUUCAUUGUGCAGAGCUGCUGCUGCUUCUUCUUCUCCGGCUGCCGAUUCUCUUUCAGGACCAACUGGAUGGAGGCACAGUAGCUGCAGCAGCUGAGAGGCUGGAAUGUCAGAAUAACAUUCGCCAAUGUCCUGGUGUGACUCCUGACCCGAUGCCCUCCGGUCUCCAACCCUAGAUGUUUGACAGCAACAUACUGACAGAAGUCGAGGAUUCUCCUCUAAUGGGACCCUGCACCACAGAGGAAGCUUUGUCUCUCAUCAAAGAAGAGGAAGUCCUCUGCUGCUGUACGCCGCGCCCCUCAGAGAGCAUGUUACAGACGAUGCAGCAUAUUUCAUGUUCCAGUUAAGGGGAAGAGGGACAAGUGAACAACCCCACCUUUAACCCUCAUGUGACUUUUCAAUGCGUGUCGUGAUUUGUCUAAAGUUUGAGCCUCAGCAACAAUGACCAAUCAAUGAUUGACCAGAGCAGCAGGCAAUAAUUAAUGAUUUUUCUUGAGUUUGGAAUUGAGUAUAUAUUCAGGGGGUCUAAUUAAUUUCCCUUGAACAAUGCAAGUUUUUUGCCUUUUGGAAACAAACCAGGCCAUCCAGCUCAGUGGUUCUCAAAAUGGGAUCCAGGAAAAACUCAUUAGGUUUCCCUUCACCUCCCUCAGCUGUGGUUGAGCUACAGCAGGUUAAAUGUCACUCGGAAAUUAGCGUUCUCCUGGUAGAGCAGUGGACGCCACAUCAGCUGCUACCAUUUUUGUAACUACAUUAAACAAACCCUCUGAAGGCCUCAA